rnacentral:rRNA from 1 species
GCGAAAANCCUUACCUACCCUUGACAUGUCUGGAAUCCUGCAGAGAUGUGGGAGUGCUCGAAAGAGAACCAGAACACAGGUGCUGCAUGGCCGUCGUCAGCUCGUGUCGUGAGAUGUUGGGUUAAGUCCCGCAACGAGCGCAACCCUUGUCAUUAGUUGCUACGAAAGGGCACUCUAAUGAGACUGCCGGUGACAAACCGGAGGAAGGUGGGGAUGACGUCAGGUCCUCAUGGCCCUUAUGGGUAGGGCUACACACGUCAUACAAUGGCCGGUACAGAGGGCUGCCAACCCGCGAGGGGGAGCUAAUCCCAUAAAACCGGUCGUAGUCCGGAUCGCAGUCUGCAACUCGACUGCGUGAAGUCGGAAUCGCUAGUAAUCGCGGAUCAGCUUGCCGCGGUGAAUACGUUCCCGGGUCUUGUACACACCGCCCGUCACACCAUGGGAGCGGGUUCUGCCAGAAGUAGUUAGCCUAACCGCAAGGAGGGCGAUUACCACGGCAGGGUUCGUGACUGGGGUGAAGUCGUAACAAGGUAGCCGUAUCGGAAGGUGCGGCUGGAUCACCUCCUU